UAACUGAUGAAUGAUUUUUAAACAUUUGUGGUUUCCACCAAAAGCUGUAGCUAAUGAUGGCAAAACUGUUGGAUGUCUGAGUGA
rnacentral:snoRNA from 1 species